rnacentral:rRNA from 1 species
CCUACGGGAGGCAGCAGUGGGGACUAUUGGGCAAUGGGCGCAAGCCUGACCCAGCAACGCCGCGUGAAGGAAGAAGGCUUUCGGGUUGUAAACUUCUUUUGUCAGGGACGAAGCAAGUGACGGUACCUGACGAAUAAGCCACGGCUAACUACGUGCCAGCAGCAGCGGUAAUACGUAGGCGGCAAGCGUUAUCCGGAUUGAUUGGGUGUAAAGGGCGUGUAGGCGGGAAUGCAAGUCAGAUGUGAAAACUAUGGGCUCAACCCAUAGCCUGCAUUUGAAACUGUAUUUCUUGAGUGCUGGAGAGGCAAUCGGAAUUCCGUGUGUAGCGGUGAAAUGCGUAGAUAUACGGAGGAACACCAGUGGCGAAGGCGGAUUGCUGGACAGUAACUGACGCUGAGGCGCGAAAGCGUGGGGAGCAAACAGGAUUAGAUACCCUUGUAGUC